GUGCUCGAUUCAUUAGCACAUACACUAAAACUGCAACGAUACAGAGAAGAUUAGCCCCUUCACAAGGAUGACAUGCAAAUUCAUGAGUCAUUCCAUACUUAA
ensembl:snRNA U6 U6 spliceosomal RNA